rnacentral:rRNA from 1 species
CACGUAGGCACCAAGCGUUGUCCGGAUUUAUUGGGCGUAAAGGGCUCGUAGGCGGUUCGGUAAGUCGGGUGUGAAAACUCUGGGCUCAACCCAGAGCCGCCACCCGAUACUGCUGUGACUCGAGUGCGGUAGGGGAGCGGGGAAUUCCUGGUGUAGCGGUGAAAUGCGCAGAUAUCAGGAGGAACACCAGUGGCGAAGGCGCCGCUCUGGGCCGUGACUGACGCUGAAGAGCGACAGCAUGGGGAGCAAACAGG